rnacentral:rRNA from 1 species
CCUACGGGUGGCAGCAGUGGGGAAUAUUGCACAAUGGGGGAAACCCUGAUGCAGCGACGCCGCGUGAGUGAAGAAGGAAUUCGGUAUGUAAAGCUCUAUCAGCAGGGAAGAAAAUGACGGUACCUGAGUAAGAAGCCCCGGCUAACUACGUGCCAGCAGCCGCGGUAAUCCGUAGGGGGCAAGCGUUAUCCGGAUUUACUGGGUGUAAAGGGAGCGUAGACGGCAGUGCAAGUCUGGAGUGAAAGGCGGGGGGUCAACCCCCGGACUGCUCUGGAAACUGUACGGCUUGAGUGCAGGAGAGGUAAGUGGAAUUCCUAGUGUAGCGGUGAAAUGCGUAGAUAUUAGGAGGAACACCAGUGGCGAAGGCGGCUUACUGGACUGUAACUGACGUUGAGGCUCGAAAGCGUGGGGAGCAAACAGGAUUAGAUACCCGUGUAGUC